UCCGCUUUGUUUGCGGCAGUCUUUCUAGAAGUGCAACUAGAAACGGGGGUUGCGCUCGUUGCGGGACUUAACCCAACAUCUCACGACACGAGCUGACGACAGCCAUGCAGCAUCUGUGUACCCGUCCCUUGCGGGAGGCCUCUCUUUCAAGAGGUUGCGAGUACAUGUCAAGCCCAGGUAAGGUUCUUCGCGUCGCAUCGAAUUAAACCACACGCUCCGCUGCUUGUGCGGGGCCCCGUCAAUUCCUUUGAGUUUUAGUCUUGCGACCGUACUCCCCAGGCGGACCACUUAAUGCGUUAGCUACGGCACGGAAGGGGUCAACACCCCCCACACCUAGUGGUCAUCGUUUACUGCUGGGACUAC
rnacentral:misc_RNA from 1 species